AGCAGCCGCGGUAAUUCCAGCUCCAAUAGCGUAUAUUAAAGUUGUUGCAGUUAAAAAGCUCGUAGUUGAACUUCGGAAUUUGUUCAUUGGUCAGGCUUAACUGCCUGUACUGGUGUUACGAAUUUCUACCUUCUGAGGAAUCCUCAUGCCAUUAAUUUGGUGCGGGGGGGGGGAUCAGAACUGUUACUUUGAAAAAUUAGUGUGUUUAAACCAGGCUAACGUCUGAAUACAUUGGCAUGGAAUAAUAAAAUAGGUCUAUUUUGUUGGUUUCUAGGAUCACCGUAAUGAUUAAUAGGGAUAGUUGGGGGCAUUAGUAUUCAAUUGUCAGAGGUGAAAUUCUUGGAUUUAUUGAACUGCGAAAGCAUUUGCCAAGGAUGUUUUCAUUAAAUCAAGAACGAAAGUUAGGGGAUCGAAGACGAUCAGAUACCUUAACCAUAAACUAUGCCGACUAGGGAUCGGACGAAGUUAAUUUUAAAUGACUCGUUCGGCACCUUACGGGAAACCAAAGUGUUUGGGUUCG
rnacentral:rRNA from 1 species